GCCGCGUGCGCCUCGCGCAUUUGCUGGCCCGCUUCGGUGUGGUUCCAACACAGCGUCCACUCCACCAACCUAGCUCUCUUUCCCCAAUCCCCUUCUCCCGCACGAACCCUAGCAAUCGACAGCCGCCACAUCCUCACUCGUCCCAGCCGCCUCCAGCUUGCUUCCUCCUCCUCAAUCCUCCUGCAUUGGUCACGCCCCUCCUCCCGCAUCUCACCCAUCUCGAUGAAUCUGAGGCGUGCGGGCACGGAGGCGAGGUUCUCCGGCGGCGACUGGAACCUCCAGGCAGAGGGCGACCCCAUGGAUCCGUCCCUGUAGGAGCGAGAAGGAAGGAGAGGAUGUAGAUAUUGAGGAAAGAGGAGACCGGCCACGGAGAUGGGAUGAGAACGUCCAUGCCGAGCCAAUCGAGCCACACCUCCGGUGCGCGACCCCAGGGAGGAUUUUGCGCUGCCGUCUUCUUGAGCCAGCCUGUGCCCUGGAAGAAGGACACCAGCCGAGAAGGAUGACGUGGAGGAAAGGAUGACGUGGAGGAGGGGCUGCCUUUUCCUCGGAGAGGAGGUCGACCGUCCGAGGCAUUGUGUGGGAAUGAAGCAAAAAGCAUGAAGAAAAUAGAGCAGGUCGUGUGUCGUCGUGCACGUAGUCUGACUUCCAUUGGCGUAAUUUGUGAACAAUCAGUACUGCACCAGGUUAUCUACAGAGGAAUGCAAGGAUAACUAGAUUAAACAUUUCACAAGAUCCUCCCAAAUACAGGAACAAACUCCUUUCAAGAUAUUAUGAGUGUGCUUGAUUACCGGGGAUUGUCAGAUGAAAAGAAGGACAUCGGCGAGAAGGGGCUCUCUGAGGCGGCUGCACUCGGUCCCCCAUGCAGCCACGCACCACAUCGUCCGGCGACGUUGAUGUCGCUGCUGCCUCAGAGACCUGGAUGAUUCUGUUGUUGGCUUCUGCUAUACUCUCUCUCUCUCUCUCUCUCAGUGGUGUAGGCAGAUUAAAAUGGCAGAUUCAUUCUGUAGGGAUUUGGUUAGGAGAUGAUUCAAGAUUUUGAUUAGGAAUGGUCUAGAUGUGGAUAUGAGUCAAUAAUGUUCCUCUACGUCCAGUUUGAAAGAAGAGAGUGGGUUCUCAAAUACAGUGAGAUCUUGGUUGGAGAGUGAGUAAUGCAAUAGUCUGCGUGUAGUAUGAGGUUGGAACUAAUGCUAAAUAUACUAUUGUUGGAACUAAUACUAAAUAUACAAUUUUGGUUUCUGACCAUAAUCUAGGUAUUUCCUGUUAAUAGCGGUAAUUGCCUUUGGCUCCUAGGUGCAUAUGCACCCAUUGUCGAAAUGCACAUUUCAAAAUGUUAAAAAAUUCGGAACAAAAAUCCCGCGUGUAUAUCCGGACAUUUUAUGUGUAUGCACAAGGUUUCGGUGAAAAACGACGUUUUUUGUGGCUUGUGUAAAAAAGACAAUUUCGAAAUACUCAUUUCGAAAUGUUAAAAAAUUUGGAACAAAAAUCCCGUGUGUAGGUUGAUAGAAGCCAAAUCAAACCUACAUUUGGUGCUUAUAAGCUAAAGGUGUUAUGAGGGGAUGAAAACUGAAGUACAGAAUCUCUUAGCUUCAUAUAUUAAGUCUGAAAAGCUUCAUUUCUUAUCCAGGUUCUAUUUUCUUUCAGGCCAUCAGUUACGAUGUCUUGGCUAGAGCUACAGAUACAUUGAGAAUAAAUUUGUUUUGUUUUACUGAAUUUCUGUACAUUGUACGAAAAAGGUGCACCUAUUAUGCCCAGUAGAAAUUUCAGCUGAGCGAUUUGUGCAGACUUACAAAGCUACCAUGAUAGAUGUUAGUGACUGUAUUAUUGGGGCUAUGUUACAUCUGUAGGGUUGAAUUGAUGUCUAGAAAUACCAGAGUGACAUUUUAUCUUAUGCAGUGAUAAACUGAUAAUUAAGUAGAGUCAUACGUAGUUGGAAACAGGGUCGCUCGAAGCAAACCAGCUGCUUAUUCAGUAUCUUUAACACUCGUGGAAAAGUUAAAUGCCCAUCCUAAAUUCCUAAUUAUCAUCACAUAACUGAAAGUGCGUUAGACCAGUGGGGUUAUGAGAAAUAAAUAAUUUCUAUCCCAUAGCUGAACUGUUUUUUUUUUCUCAGUAUGUAUAUAUGUCAGAGAUGUGUAUGAUUCAGAUAAUUUUCUUCAUUUGUUCACUUUUCCAAUGUAUGGCUGACAUGCUUCGUUAUGUUAUAUCACGUCUGGGAGUGCAUUGCACCGGUGGUGUUAUCAGAAUGGAUAAUUUCGGUCACAUAACUGAGCUAUUCCUUUCCUCGGUGUAUAUAUAUAAGUUACAUAUGUGCAUGAUUAUGAUAAAUCUCUGCAUUUGGUAAAUUCACCUAUGCAUGGCUUACAUGCUUCUUAUGUUACGUUUCUUAAGCUACAUGCCUAAUUAUACAAAAUGUUUCCAAGUGAGUGCUUUUCCAAUGGACUGGAUGCAUGGAGGAUGUCAGAUAAGUUGGUGCUAUGUUUCUUGCAUGGUUUGUAUGUUUGUUGCAAAAAAAUAGGACACGAAAAAGAUCUAUGCUCAUGAAGAUGGCAGAAGGGAACUACACGUGGAACAAGAGAAGAACCACCUACGCUGGCCAGAGUUGGGCGUCUGGACAGUAGUAAUGCACAAAAAUUGCUUGCCCUAUAGAGGCAAUGUAUUCUACUACUGUGAUUUUUUUGUUAUAAAAUUAUGGUUCAACCAAAUGUAUUUA